UACAGAGGUCUCGAGCGUUGUUCGGAUUUAUUGGGCGUAAAGAGCGUGUAGGCGGCCAGGUAGGUCUGCUGUGAAAACUCGAGGCUUAACCUCGAGAUGUCGGCGGAAACCAUCUGGCUAGAGUCCGGAAGAGGAGAAUGGAAUUCCCGGUGUAGUGGUGAAAUGCGUAGAUAUCAAGAGGAACACCUGCGGCGAAGGCGGGUUGCUGGGCCGACACUGACGCUGAGGCGCGAAAGCCAGGGGAGCGAACGGG
rnacentral:rRNA from 1 species